UACGGAGGAUGCGAGCGUUAUCCGGAUUUAUUGGGUUUAAAGGGUGCGCAGGCGGGUCCUUAAGUCAGCGGUGAAAUACCACGGCUCAACCGUGGGGCUGCCGUUGAUACUGGGGGUCUUGAGUACGAGCGGCGCCGGCGGAAUGUGUCAUGUAGCGGUGAAAUGCAUAGAUAUGACACAGAACACCGAUCGCGAAGGCAGCUGGCGAGGACGAUACUGACGCUGAGGCACGAAAGCGUGGGGAUCAAAC
rnacentral:rRNA from 1 species